rnacentral:rRNA from 1 species
CUAUCAGCUUGUUGGUGAGGUAACGGCUCACCAAGGCUUUGACGGGUAGCUGGUCUGAGAGGACGACCAGCCACACUGGAACUGAGACACGGUCCAGACACCUACGGGUGGCAGCAGUCGAGAAUUUUUCACAAUGGGGGAAACCCUGAUGGAGCGACGCCGCGUGGAGGAUGAAAGUCUUCGGAUCGUAAACUCCUGUCAUGCGGGAACAAGAAAGUGAUAGUACCGCAAGAGGAAGAGACGGCUAACUCUGUGCCAGCAGCCGCGGUAAUACAGAGGUCUCAAGCGUUGUUCGGAUUCAUUGGGCGUAAAGGGUGCGCAGGCGGCGUGGUAAGUUGAGUGUGAAAUCCCGGGGCUUAACCUCGGAACUGCACUCAAUACUGCCAUGCUAGAGGAAUGUAGGGGAGACUGGAAUUCCU